GUGAGACAGGUGCUGCAUGGCUGUCGUCAGCUCGUGUUGUGAAAUGUUGGGUUAAGUCCCGCAACGAGCGCAACCCUUAUCCUUUGUUGCCAGCGAUUAGGUCGGGAACUCAAAGGAGACUGCCAGUGAUAAACUGGAGGAAGGUGGGGAUGACGUCAAGUCAUCAUGGCCCUUACGACCAGGGCUACACACGUGCUACAAUGGCGCAUACAAAGACAAGCGACCUCGC
rnacentral:rRNA from 1 species